rnacentral:lncRNA from 1 species
UAUCUACUAGUACUUAUUUGAAUUCUACUCACUGUUGUUGUUGUUUUUCAUCUUUAUUGGAAUACAAUUGCUUUACAAUGGUGUGUUAGUUUCUGCUUUUUAACAAAGUGAAUCAGUUAUACAUAUAUAUAUGUACCCAUAUCUCUUCCCUCUUGCCUAUCUAUUUUGCGUUUGGUAGUGUAUAUAUGUCCAUGCCACUCUCUCACUUUGUCACAGCUUACCCUUCCCCCUCCCCAUAUCCUCAAGUCCAUUCUCUAGUAGGUCUGUGUCUUUAUUCCCGUCUUACCCCUAGGUUCUUCAUGACAUUUUCUUUUUUUCUUAGAUUCCAUGUAUAUGUGUUAGCAUACGGUAUUUGUCUUUCUCUUUCUGACUUACUGGUUGAGUGUCUUGAACUGCUCAAACUUUAAGGUCCAUCACCUCUAAUUUCCACCUUACCAAAACUUCAGACAAGAAACAGGAGAAAGGGCAGUGCCAUCCAUAAUUCAUUCCCAUCACACCUACAAAAAUAAUCACAAGGAACUUGUGUAGAAUAUCAAUUCUUUUGUAUUAGGAAGGCAGUUUUCAAAAUUAAAUGGUAUUGGUUCAUUUGGUUGUUUAAUAAAUAUCUUGCAAAUGCCUAUAAUAAAGCCAAAUAUCAAACUGACCAUUUAAGUUGCAGAGAUUUUUACAAAGUUCUUGAUAUUUUACUAUUUUAAAGUAACAGUUUACAUUUGAGUGCUUACCAUAAUAUAUGAUACCAAUAAGCUCCCUAAAAAUCUAAACAUUUAUAAAAUACACCAAAUGCUACUGUCUCAUGCCUUGCUUUGCAAUCCGGGAUUGCUUUCUAAUAUGGAGAUGAUGUAAGAAAUAUAAUCUAGAUAUCUCUUCUACAGGAUCACCAGCCAUGUCUCAACUAACUUUUAUCAGUGGAGACUCUCAGGACAUACAUAUUUAUUUAUUAUAAAACUCUUCGGUACUGAUCAUUAGGUAAUUCUGGUAAAUGUUGGCGCAUAAUAAUAGUUAAGAAUGUCAACCCCACUUCAUUUCAGCUUGAUCCGCUGCAGGAAAGCACAAAUUAGAUGAAAGCAAUUUCCCCAAGAACAACUCACUUCCUUGAGAUGAGACAUAAACUUGGAUGAACAAUGAUUUGUCACAAUUUAUUUUUGAGGGUAGUGGUUUAAAAAAAGUGCUAAUGUAAUCUUUUCAGAAUGAAUCCUUUUAAAAAUGCAUUAAUUCUCCAGUGAAUAUAGCUUAUAGUUAAAAACCUAUACAUAUAAUUUUACUUUCCUAAAUUUUUACAUAUGACCAUAUAUAACAAAUAAUGAAAUCUUAAAAUCUUCGUAAUCUUUAAACUUUGAUGGCCUUUAAAUGUGAAUUUGGAUUUGCUGAGUCUGACAGAUUAUUAUUAGUGACUCUACUGGGUACCACCAAUUCAGAUUCAACAUUAUUUCUGCAAGUCUCAGAAGCAUUAAGUUUUGUGAAUGGAUAGAGGGUAUUAGCAUCUUGGUUGUUUUUCACUACAUUGAGAUUACCAGAGAACCUGAAUGUGAAAGAUCAUGGAGAGGAGUGUAAGAAAUGGCACUAAAGGUAUCACUGACUUCUCUCUAUUUACUCAGAUUCUGCAGUAUACAACAGAAGGAACAAAGCAGGUUCUGUUGCCGCUACUGUUGCAAUGACCAAGGAUCCUCAGUCUCAUAGCCAUUGCAGUCCAUUGUUUAAGAUGUGAGCUUGUUGUUGCUUAUUCAGGCAAAAGUCAGAAUGCUUAUUUGUUUUAUGUCUGUUUUUUAAUGAGGGUUUGAUUAGACAGCAAUAAAGACAAAAGAAAAUAGGAGAAAUGUUUAUUAAUAGGUCCCUCCAUCCCUAUCAACCCAAGAAAAGGCAUACCUUAAAAUAUUGUUGUGAAAUGUCUAGGGUGUGUCUGUCUGUGUUCUUGCAACCCUUCACCUUUAAGUAGCUUUUCAAAAAUAUGUUAUAAACAUGUUGCCUCACACUUGCCCUUUUAGCCUGUUAAUGUCUAAUUUAAGUAAAGCAGGAUGCAAUCCCCAGCAAGUUAUCUCUUUCUCCUUUUUUGGACCAUGCAAAUCAAAACAGUCUUCUUCUAAGGAGGGUAGUGAAAAGUUUUGCCAAUUGUGUUCAUACUUCAGCUAUUCCAACAUUCUUUAGUUUAGCUGAAAUGAGACAUUCUCAUCUUUGGGCUUUAAUUAUUCUGUUUCAAAAUAAAUUUUAAAAGAUACUCUAAGAGAAACUAAGAAAAAAAAUAAAAUAAAAUAUUUACCAUAAUGCAGGUACAUAAAUAUUAACUAAAAAUAGUUUUAGAUUAAAAAUUAAUCUUUUUUGUUUUAAAAAUUAAUCUAAUUAAAUUUAAGAUUAGGCUGGAUAGAAAUGAUCCAUUGCUGAAGCUUAAAAAAAAAACUAGCUAUAAAUGUUACUAGUUUUCCACACUGUUGUUACAAGACUUGACUGACAUCCGUGAUGUAUUCUGUAAUAUUUUUGAAAUGAUGAAAUGUGUGAUCCAGAGACUUGAAAUAUUUCAAUACUUCUGUAUAGGAAUUUUCUUCCAUGAACUAGAAAUGAAAAAGUGAGAAUGUGUCCUUGCUCAAAUCACAUUAAAUGGAUUCCCUUAUAUUACUUGCAUUCAUUUUUAAGAUAGUCAUAAAUGGUUACAUAAAAUACAGGAAUACUAUCUGUUGAAGAAGUUUAUGGUUUUUAUAGUCAAUGUAUGUAUUCCAAUUAUAAAUGUUUCUGCAUAAUCUCUGACCCAACAAUACCAUUCCAUGCCACUCCAAGAAUUCUUCCAUCAAAAGUAAAAGCUCCAGCACAUAAAGACAUGAACCUCUAUGUCCAUUACCACAUUUCUUGAAAUCAUAAAACUGUUUGGAACUUAAUAAAUGUUUAUCAAUGGGUUUUGACUGAAUGAAAUUAUGGCUCACUCACAGUACACAUAACUGGGCAUCUACUAAAGGUAAUAUGGUAGUGAUAUAUGCUAAAUAUCAUUAAUAUAAUAGAAACACAAUGUACUAAAAGUGUUUUGCAACUAAAAAUCACUAUACAUUGUGUGGCUUUACAAAGGAAUGAAAUACUGAUACAUGCUAAAACAUGGAUGGACUUUGAAAACAUUAUGUUAAGUGAAAGAAGCCAGACACAAAAGGACAAAUAUUGUAUGAUUCCACUUAUAUGAGGUAGUUAGAAUAGGCAAAUUAUAAACCCAGAAAAUAGAAUAGAGUGAACCAGAGGCUAAGGGGAGGGGAGAAAUAAGGGGUUAUUGUUUAGUGAGUACAGUUUCUGCUUGGGAUAAUAAGAAAGGUCUAAAUAUGGAUAAUGGCAAUGGUUGCUCAGCAUUGUGAAUGUACUUAAUACCAAUAAAUGAUACACUUAAAAAUGGAUAAAAUGGUAAAUUUUAUGUUAUGGGACAUUUUACCAAAAUAAAAAUAAAAAUAAACUAUAACAUAAAGUAAAAAUUUACCUCUUACUAGGCGUAUUAUGAAGUUUGCAUAAAAUUGCACUUAUUUUAGGAGCUUAUAUGGUUAUUAUCAUAUUUGGGGACGUGUAAAGAAAUCAACAGCUUAAGCAGUCCUCUUGAGUUCUUUCUCUCCAUCUUUCCAACCCGGUUUUUUCUAGAUUAAUGGUUUUGUCACGCCUCUCUUUGAAUACUAGCAUCAGUAGGAACGCUAGCUAGUGCUGGUUUCCUUAAGUAUCAGCUAAAAAUUUUAAUGUAUUUUUAUGCUGGUAAUUGUUUUAGAACCUGGGAGGGAUGUCAUUGUUUUCUUAACUUGGCAAAAGCAAAUAUAUUACUGUAGACAGCAUUACUAGAAAGAAAUAGUAACUUUGAAGUAGACAUAUGUCCAUCCUAAGAAAACUGAAUAUAUUUCACAAUAGACCACACCACUCAACUGCUGGCAAUGUUCUUCUACAUACUUGGCAGUAGAGUACUCUAAAUCCGAGAACUGUUUCUUGUUUGUAAAAAUGGGUUUGAUUGGAAAACCCGGAAUAAAUCAUUUGGAAUGUGUAACGUUUAGAGCUCCUUCUGGGAUUCCUUUUCCAUGAAUCAAGGUUCUUUGAUUCACUGUUCUCCUUGGCACUUGCUUUCUAGUCAUCUCAGCAGCCUUUGUGCCAGUGCUAAUGAAGAGCUCCCAUUUCAGGUCCUAAAGCAGGGAGAACAAUAAAAGGAGAACCUCAUUUCAAGUACCAGAAAUGUCUGGGCUAUAAAGGACACACAUAUUGUCAAAGUAAGCCCAGAGCGGGGUGACAUCACCAAGGUCAUUCCUGGCUCCGCACCCCCCUCCCAGGAGGAACAACUAACAAUUAUUUGGAAACAGGACACUAUUUGAGAGGAUCCUAAAACAUGGAGGUGAGGCUGAAGCACCCCCGUGCACCAC